rnacentral:misc_RNA from 1 species
AAGUCGUAACAAGGUUUCCGUAGGUGAACCUGCGGAAGGAUCAUUAACACGUAUCCAAACGUAAAAAACCCCCCCCGUGAACAUUCAAUCCUGCUCUUGUAACCCGCGUAGUUCGCAAUCUCUGGUAAAUCAUAGCCCGGAAAGUAGUUUUGAUUCAGAGACCUCUGGCUACGUGAGAACAUUGGAACAGUUACAAUCGAGCGGUAGUUUCAUAGGCAUUGUUUCCCCAAGCAGUUAGUGUCUGAAAGUGUCACUGAUUGUGCAAGGAUGGGCAGGAGCUAUGCCAAAGGGUCCCCAUGCCCCCUUAUAACCCCAAAGUUUAAUGUGAAGCUCAAUGUAAUACAUUGGGUAACAAAACCGAACAACUGUUAACAAUGGAUAUCUUGGUUCUC